rnacentral:rRNA from 1 species
GACGAACGCUGGCGGCGUGCCUAAUACAUGCAAGUCGAGCGGAUUAGAUAGAAAGCUUGCUUUCAAUCUGGUUAGCGGCGGACGGGUGAGUAACACGUAGGCAACCUGCCUGUAAGACUGGGAUAACAUUCGGAAACGAAUGCUAAUACCAGAUACGCGAUUUCCUCGCAUGGGGAGAUCGGGAAAGACGGAGCAAUCUGUCACUUGCAGAUGGGCCUGCGGCGCAGUAGCUAGUUGGUGGGGUAACGGCCUACCAAGGCGACGAUGCGUAGCCGACCUGAGAGGGUGAUCGGCCACACUGGGACUGAGACACGGCCCAGACUCCUACGGGAGGCAGCAGUAGGGAAUCUUCCGCAAUGGACGAAAGUCUGACGGAGCAACGCCGCGUGAGUGAUGAAGGCUUUCGGGUCGUAAAGCUCUGUUGCCAGGGAAGAACACUUGGGAGAGUAACUGCUCUUAAGGUGACGGUACCUGAGAAGAAAGCCCCGGCUAACUACGUGCCAGCAGCCGCCGUAAGAC